rnacentral:rRNA from 1 species
GGAGUUCUGAGUAAGGGCGUGCGGUGGAUGCCUUGACUCUGAAAGGCGAUGAAGGACGCGGCUUAGCUGCGAUACGCUUCGGGGAGGUGCUAUGCAACCUUUGAUCCGAAGAUUUCCGAAUGGGGAAACCCCAUCGAGUAACCCUCGAUGACUCUCUGCUUAAACGAUAGAGAGGGCAGACCUCGGGAAGUGAAACAUCUCAGUACCGAGAGGAACAGAAAACAAUAGUUAUUCCCUUAGUAGCGGCGAGCGAAACGGGAGAAGCCCAAACUCAGCCACAUAAAUAGCCUGGAGCCAUAAGCCUGUAGCCUGUAGCAGAUGCGAAAUGCAUUUAGCUGCAAGCUACUGGCUACAAGCUACAAGCUGUUUAUGCGGAUGGGGGUUAUAAGAUUACGGCGAUCGUACAAAUUAAUUUUUGUUGACGGAUAGAGUUAAAAAAUGCUUAGUUAGAGGAAGCGCCUGGGAAGGCGCGCCCCAGAGGGUAAUAGCCCCGUACUCGAAAACGAAGCAACUCUAUGGCUGUAGUUCUUGAGUAGUUCGAGACAUGAAAAGCUCGGGUGAAUUCGGCGGAACUAACCGCCAAUGCUACAUACUUCUUC